GGACUACCAGGGUAUCUAAUCCUGUUUGCUCCCCUUGCUCUCGCGCCUCAGCGUCAGGAGUGAGCUAGAGAACCGCUUUCGCCACAGGUGUUCUUCCACAUAUCUACGCAUUUCACCGCUACACGUGGAAUUCCGUUCUCUCCGCCUAUCCUCAAGAAAUGUAGUUUCCCAUGCAGCUCCGAAGUUGAGCCUCGGAAUUUCACAUCAGACUUACAUUCCCGCCUACGCGCCCUUUACGCCCAAUAAUUCCGAUUAAUGCUUGCACCCUCCGUAUUACCGCGGCUGCUGGCAC
rnacentral:rRNA from 1 species